GAUUUGUGUGUAAGGCCUUUAUUAUGCUGCAAGAGGCCAUAUUACAGCCUUUAAAGGCCUGUACCCAUAGUUCACGGUGUUAUAAAGUCUUGGCGCAAUGGAAAACAACUUGGGACGUCGUAGUCCAUUGAGAGUGGAAGGAUUAGACCAAUGGUAACCUGUGCAGGCACGUGGAACAACGCGAUUUGUGUGUACGACCAUUAUUAGGCUGCAAAAUGCCAUAGUACAGCCUUUAGAGGCCUGUACACGUAGUUGACGGUGUUAUAAGGUUAUAGCGCAAUGGAAAACAACUUGGGACGUCGUAAUCCAUUGAGAGUGGAAUAAUUAGACCAAUGGUAACCUUUGUAGGCACGUGGAACAACGCGAUUUGUGUCUACGACCUUUAUUAGGCCGCAAAAGGCCAUAUUACAGCCUUUAAAGGCCUGUACACGUAGUUGACGGUGUUAUAAAGCUGUGACGCAAUGGAAAGCGACUUGGGACGUCCUAGUCAAUUGAGAGUGGAAGGAUUAGACCAAUGGUAACUUGCGCAGGCACGUGCGCCACGUGAUAUACGUGUAAGGCCUUUAUUAGGCUGCAAGAGGCCAUAUUACAGCCUUUGGAGGCCUGCACCCGUAGGUGACGGUGUUAUAACGCCAUGGCGCAAUGGAAAACCACUUGGGACGUCAUAGUCCAAUGAGAGUGGAAGGAUUAGACCGAUCGUAACUCGCCCAGGCACGUGGAACAACGCGAUUUGUGUGUACGACCUUUAUUAAGCUGCAAAAUGCCAUAGUACAGCCUUUUAGAGGCCUGUACGCGUAGUUGACGGUGUUAUAAAGUCAUGGCGCAAUGGAAAACAACAUGGGACGUCGUAGUCCAUUGAGAGUGGAGUAAUUAGACCAGCGGUAAUCUGCGCAGGCACGUGCAACCAUGUGAUAUACGUGAAAGGCCUUUAUUAUGCUGCAAGAGGCCAUAUUACAGCUU